GAUGAACGCUGGCGGUAUGCUUAAUACAUGCAAGUCGAACGGACUCUUCGGAGUUAUUGGCGGACGGGUGGGUAACGCGUGAGAAUCUGGCAUUGGGUUCGGGACAACCACUUGAAACGGUGGCUAAUAUCGGAUGUGCAUAGUGGUAAAAGAGAAAUUGCCUGCAGGUGGGGUCGGGUCUGAUUAGCUAGUUGGAGAGGUAAAUGCUCACCAAGGCAGCGAUCAGUAGCAGGUCUGAGAGGAUGACCGGCCACCCCGGGACUGAGACACGGCCCAGACUCCUCCGCGAGGCAGCAGUGGAGAAUGAUCCGCAAAGGGCGAGAGAGUGACGGAGCCAUACCGCGUGAGGAAAGAAGUCUCUAGGGUAGAACACCUAUUUGCUUAGGGGAGAACGAAAUGACGGUACCUGAGGAAUCAGCACCGGCUAACUCCGUG
rnacentral:rRNA from 1 species